rnacentral:rRNA from 1 species
GACGAACGCUGGCGGCGUGCUUAACACAUGCAAGUCGAACGGAAAGGCCCUGCUUUUGUGGGGUGUUCGAGUGGCGAACGGGUGUGUAACACGUGAGUAACCUUCCCUUGACUUUGGGAUAACUUCAGGAAACUGGGGCUAAUACCUGAUAGGAGCUCCUGCUGCAUGGUGGGGGUUGGAACGUUUCGGCUGGUGGGGAUGGACUCGCGGCUUAUCAGCUUGUUGGUGGGGUAGUGGCUUACCAAGGCUUUGACGGGUAGUCGGCCUGAGAGGGUGACCGGCCACAUUGGGACUGAGAUACGGACCAGACUCCUACGGGAGGCAGCAGUGGGGAAUAUUGCACAAUGGGCGGAAGCCUGAUGCAGCAACGCCGCGUGCGGGAUGACGGCCUUCGGGUUGUAAACCGCUUUCGCCUGCGACGAAGCGUGAGUGACGGUAAUGGGUAAAGAAGCACCGGCUAACUACGUG